ACUGACUUGCUUAUUGCACCACAUGUGUUUUUCUUUGAAACAAACUUGCUUUGGCGGUGGGCCCAGCCUGCCGCCAGAGGUCUAAACUUACAACCAAUUUUUUAUCAACUUGUCACACCAGAUUAUUACUAAUAGUCAAAACUUUCAACAACGGAUCUCUUGGUUCUCGCAUCGAUGAAGAACGCAGCGAAAUGCGAUACGUAAUAUGAAUUGCAGAUAUUCGUGAAUCAUCGAAUCUUUGAACGCACAUUGCGCCCUCUGGUAUUCCGGAGGGCAUGCCUGUUUGAGCGUCGUUUCUCCCUCAAACCGCUGGGUUUGGUGUUGAGCAAUACGACUUGGGUUUGCUUGAAAGACGGUAGUGGUAAGGCGGGAUCGCUUUGACAAUGGCUUAGGUCUAACCAAAAACAUUGCUUGCGGCGGUAACGUCCACCACGUAUAUCUUCAAACUUUGACCUCAAAUCAGGUAGGACUACCCGCUGAACUUAAGCAUAUCAAAAGCCGGAGGAA
rnacentral:rRNA from 1 species